rnacentral:snoRNA from 12 species
AGCCUCAUUCUAGUUUCAAUUGGACACUGUGGAUCAGUGUCCAAAAUUGUUAAUGUGGCUAAAUUGAGACACAGGCUAUGCUUCCAUCACAGUAAACGUAUUACAGUGGUGACAAUGAGACCUGUAACAUUU